UUUCAAUGGAACACCCACAAUCACACUCAUCCCAUCAGGAGUAGGCUUCUCUGUGCAGGAUGUGCCGCUGAUUGGCUAACAGGGCAACCCAAGAUGUAUUUGGCUUACUGCUCUGAACCAUCUCUGGGCUCAUUAAAAUGUAAAAGUCAGGGGAAACGUCCUAUUUUUAAACACACCUACGGGCCCAGGAGAAACUGCGUCCAUCGGGAGCUGCAGAAUGACAUCCUGUCUCCACCAGCAUCUCCUGGAAGAGAACAUGGAGGUGGACCGUCUCUGAGUGAAUGGCAGGGUAUUUCAACAGAUGAGAGGCCCUCAGUAUUUGAAUUCUCAUUUCUCUGGGCUUGUUAAUAUGCUGGGUUUUUGGGCGUGGUGUGUCACAUGACCUACUGUAAUAUGGAACCCUUGAGAGCACAAAAGCUAUCCUGCAGUGCAAUGACUGCACAGCUCAGCUGGUGGACUGCAGAGAGAAGAGAAGCGAUAACUGGCAGGGCUGGCUAAGAAGGAGGAAGCAUGCGUGUUCUCCUAAGCUAGAUGGGGAACAUGCAGCAAUGACACAGGCCAGUGAACACAAUCAAUCAUUCAGAAGAGGGAGGAAAAAUAAAAAAUAGCCGUUAAAUUGAAAAGUUAAA